GACGAACGCUGGCGGCGUGCUUAACACAUGCAAGUCGAACGGAAAGGCCCUGCUUUUGUGGGGUGCUCGAGUGGCGAAAGGGGGAGUAACACGUGAGUAACCUGCCCUUGACUUUGGGAUAACUUCAGGAAACUGGGGCUAAUACCGGAUAGGAGCUCCUGCUGCAUGGUGGGGGGUGGAAAGUUUCGGCGGUUGGGGAUGGACUCGCGGCUUAUCAGCUUGUUGGUGGGGUAGUGGCUUACCAAGGCUUUGACGGGUAGCCGGCCUGAGAGGGUGACCGGCCACAUUGGGACUGAGAUACGGCCCAGACUCCUACGGGAGGCAGCAGUGGGGAAUAUUGCACAAUGGGCGGAAGCCUGAUGCAGCAACGCCGCGUGCGGGAUGACGGCCUUCGGGUUGUAAACCGCUUUCGCCUGUGACGAAGCGUGAGUGACGGUAAUGGGUAAAGAAGCACCGGCUAACUACGUG
rnacentral:rRNA from 1 species